rnacentral:rRNA from 1 species
UAGUAACGGCCGCCAGUGUGCUGGUAUUCGCCCUUCGCGGUUACUAGCAACUCCGGCUUCAUGUAGGCGGGUUGCAGCCUACAAUCCGAACUACGAACGGCUUUUUAGGAUUGGCUCCGCCUCGCGGCUUCGCGACCCAUUGUACCGCCCAUUGUAGCGUGUGUGUAGCCCUGGAUAUAAAGGCCAUGCUGACUUGACGUCAUCCCCACCUUCCUCCCGUUUCUCACGGGCAGUCGGUCUAGACACGUGUAACUAGACCCGAGGGUUGCGCUCGUUUUCGGACUUAACCGAACAUCUCACGACACGAGCUGACGACAGCCAUGCAGCACCUGUAGAGGCUCCCGAAGGUCGGUCCCCKUUCGGUUCCCUACCACCCCUAUGUCAAACCCAGGUAAGGUUCUUCGUGUAGCCUCGAAUUAAACCACACGCUCCGCUAAGGGCGAAUUCUGCAGAUAUCCAUCACACUGGCGGCCGCUCGAGCAUGCAU